CCAAUUAUAAACACAUAUAUCAUAUAAAAUUACUUUAACGAAAAAACCUUUGCUUGGAUGAAUUACAUAUGCGGAUGGAUUAGUCUCACCCAAUCGAUAGAGUUAAGAUCUAUUCGAGAGUUUCGACAAAAGAAUCGAUUUGACCACCUUAGCCUUCAUUUAUAAGGAACAAUUGCAUUCCAUUCUAUAAGCAAACGCCUUAGGAGAUGCAAAGAUAGCUGGAAUAUAAUUUACACUCUCACUUACAUGUAUCCAACUAUCUGAUCAUCCUAUAUAUCAAGCAAAGCCAACAUAAUUUUUAUGCUCUUGUAAUUAGGAAUUAGUUGAUUGAAGAAUUUGAUCUCUCUCGCAGAGAUGCAGUUUGGUUAACACAACUCGGAUCCAAUUGCACAUCAUGCAGAUAAAGGUGAACUGAAACAGGAAGAGGAGGACUAGAAUUCUAUGCUAAAAGUACCUUCUUGGCGAUGAAUUCAGGGUAGUUGUCCUGCAACAGGGUGACGGCCUGCUUCGUAGCCUGGCGAUGCUUCCCGAGCCGUGGCGUGUUCUUGAGGUCGGUCACCUGAACCAUGGAUGAGAUGCCACCGGGAGAGAAGUCCAAGAGCUCCCUGAUUCCCUUCUCCAGAUAUUGGAUCCUCCACUUCAGGAACUUCUGCCUCUUCUCCUCGUCGCCGAAGGCUUUCUCGUAAAGCUCCUUGUUUUGGAACUCGCCGUAGACGUUGUAGCACACGGGGUGGCCCUCCUUGUCGACGCCGUGCAUGAACACGGCCUUCUCCAGCUCCGGCAGGCCGAGGUCCUCCUCGAGGAGGGCCUCGAUGCCGAACUGCUUCCUCCAGAUGACAGCGUUCUUGAGCAUCGCCAUGGCGUCCUUCACCUUGAAGUCCCUGGCGCGGAGGAACUUGAGGAGGAUGGUGUCGCACUUCUCGUCGCCGACGAGCGGGACGCCCCAGAUGAACACCUCCUCCGGCGGUUCCGCCGGUGGUGGAGCAGGGGUCUCGGCU
rnacentral:lncRNA from 1 species